CACGUAGUUAGCCGGGGCUUUCUGGCAGAGUACCGUCAGCACGCUAUCAUUACCUAUAGCGUGGUUUCUUUCUCUACAACAGAGUUUUACGACCCAUAGGGCCUUCAUCACUCACGCGGCAUUGCUCGUUCAGGGUUUCCCCCAUUGACGAAUAUUCCUAACUGCUGUCUCCCGUAGGAGUCUGGGCCGUGUCUCAGUCCCAGUGUGUCCGAUCAGCCUCUCAGCUCGGAUAUGCAUCGUUGCCUUGGUAGGCCAUUACCCCACCAACAAGCUAAUACAACGCAAGCCCAUCUCGAAGUGAAGCCGAAGCUCCUUUUAGCAUAUCUACUUAUGUAAAUAUGAAUCAUCCGGUAUUAGCACCUAUUUCUAAGUGUUAUCCCCCGGUAUACGGCAGGUUAUCCACGCGUUACUCACCCGUCCGCCACUAACUCAUAAAUCACUAGGUUUCAGUAUGAGUCCGUUCGACUUGCAUGUGUUAGGCACGCCGCCAGCGUUCU
rnacentral:rRNA from 1 species